CGCUNCCUCGCCCUGAUUGCCUUGCUCCACGACUAGCCGACCGCGCUCCUUUAUCAAGGCAGGCGACGCGAGUCACGAGCGACCGGCCKAUCACGACUUGUCGGUGGGCUAGUGGCCCACGGCGGUKACGACGGGUGACGGGGAAUCAGGGUUCGAUUCCGGAGAGGGAGCACGAGAAACGGCUACCACAUCCAAGGAAGGCAGCAGGCGCGCAAAUUACCCACUCCCGGAUCGGGSAGGACUGACGAGAAAUACACGUGCCUCGGCGGUUCUCGCCGCCGUACGGCAACGCUGAAUGGGUGGGACGUGAACAGUCCACACGACGAUCUACCGAAGGGCAAGCCUGGUGCCAGCAGCCGCGGUAAUUCCAGCUUCGGCAGCGUACACGAACGUUGUUGCGGUUAAAAAGCUCGUAGUCCAAGCGCUGUCGCACUUGUGUGGCGACUCCUGUGGUACCAUGAAGAAAUCGGCGAGAUUCAGUCCAUGGCAGCGCCAAUUUAUGUGGCCGCCGUACGUACGUUCGUGGGAUAUCGGAAGAAGGCCGUGUGGCAGGCGUUCCUAGCGUUCGUCUGUUCGCCGGCAAUGAUCUGUGGGGAUGACGCGGGCCGUUCGUAUUGCGAGGCGAGAGGUGAAAUUCGUAGACCCCCGCAAGACGACCAACGGCGAAGGCAAACGGCCGCUGCAUUCCCGUCGAUCAAGAGCGAAAGUCGGAGGCGCGAAGACGAUCAGAUACCGUCCUAGUUCCGACCGUAAACUUUGCCGUCUCGACCGGCGGUCAACAUACACCGUCAAACGCAUCGCGGGCCUUAGCGGCGCCGCGUUGCUGGUAGUCGACGUACAUUGGGCCCCUUAGGGGGACUCAGCGUUGACGACCGUCGGUCGCCCUCGAAAGAAUCAAGAUCGGUUCCGGGGGAAGUACGGUCGCAAGCGUGAAAGUUAAAGGCAUUGACGGAAGGACACCACAAGGUGUGGAGCAUGCGGCUCAAUUCGACCCAACGCGCGGAACCUUACCCGGUCCGGACACCGGCAGGACGGACAGACUUCGGCUCUUUCUCGAUUCGGUGAUUGGUGGUGCAUGGCCGUUCUUAGUUGGUGGAGUGAUUUGUCUGGUCGGUUCCG
rnacentral:rRNA from 1 species